UGAGGAAUAUUGGUCAAUGGGCGGGAGCCUGAACCAGCCAAGCCGCGUGAGGGAGGAAGGCCCUAUGGGUCGCAAACCUCUUUUGUCAGGGAACAAAAGCGAGUAUGUAUACUAGUCUGAGUGUACCUGAAGAAAAAGCAUCGGCUAACUCCGUGCCAGCAGCCGCGGUAAUACGGAGGAUGCGAGCGUUAUCCGGAUUUAUUGGGUUUAAAGGGUGCGUAGGCGGCGGUGCAAGUCAGCGGUAAAAGCCCGGGGGCUCAACCCCGGCGAGCCGUUGAAACUGCAGUGCUAGAGAAGGCGAGAGGUACGCGGAAUGCGCAGUGUAGCGGUGAAAUGCUUAGAUAUUGCGCAGAACUCCGAUUGCGAAGGCAGCGUACUGGCGCCUGACUGACGCUGAGGCACGAAAGCGUGGGGAUCGAACAGGAUUAGAUACC
rnacentral:rRNA from 1 species